UUAGUAGUACGUUCGAGCCUGGACCACGCCCGUCACACCAUGAGAGUUUGUAAACCCGAAGUCGGUGGGGUAACCUUUUACGAGCCAGCCGCGUAUGGUGGGACAGAUGAUUAUGGGUGAAGUCGUAACAAGGUAGCAGUAGGAGAACCUGCGGACUGGAUCACCUCUCUUUCUAAGGAAUUAAUCGGAAACCUGCACAUUGUCGAAACAGUGUUCAGUUUUGAGGGGGUUACCUCUCAGCUUGUACUUUGAAAACUAAAUGAUAUCCCUUUCUAAUAAAAUCAAGAGAUCCGACAAACACGCGCGGUUAUUUGAUGUUUUCACCAAAAAAGAAGGCGAUCCUCCCCUAGUUUGACUGACGGCUACCUGGUAAGGUCUACUCAUAAAGGUCGCUCGCACAUUGCCUGGUUGCUCCCAACAGAUUAACCCCGGCACUUUCGCGGAUAUCAUUCUCGAAGGGGUAACCACCCUUUGUUCCGAAGAUUCCGAAAGGGGUUACCCCAGUCUUCUUGAUCGCCGAUUCACAAGCAAUUCAGGGUUUNGGUUUCCGGGGUUUUAA
rnacentral:misc_RNA from 1 species